GUGGGGAAUCUUGCGCAAUGGGCGAAAGCCUGACGCAGCCAUGCCGCGUGAAUGAUGAAGGUCUUAGGAUUGUAAAAUUCUUUCACCGGGGACGAUAAUGACGGUACCCGGAGAAGAAGCCCCGGCUAACUUCGUGCCAGCAGCCGCGGUAAUACGAAGGGGGCUAGCGUUGCUCGGAAUUACUGGGCGUAAAGGGCGCGUAGGCGGAUCGUUAAGUCAGGGGUGAAAUCCCAGAGCUCAACUCUGGAACUGCCCUUGAUACUGGCGAUCUUGAGUGUGAGAGAGGUAUGUGGAACUCCGAGUGUAGAGGUGAAAUUCGUAGAUAUUCGGAAGAACACCAGUGGCGAAGGCGACAUACUGGCUCAUUACUGACGCUGAGGCGCGAAAGCGUGGGGAGCAAACAGGAUUAGAAACCCUUGUAGUCC
rnacentral:rRNA from 1 species